UACGGGGGGAGCAAGCGUUGUUCGGAUUUACUGGGCGUAAAGGGCGCGUAGGCGGUCAGCACAAGUCAAUUGUGAAAUCUCCGAGCUUAACUCGGAAAGGUCAACUGAAACUGUGCGACUAGAGUGCGGAAGGGGCAACUGGAAUUCUUGGUGUAGCGGUGAAAUGCGUAGAUAUCAGGAGGAACACCGGUGGCGAAGGCGGGUCUCUGGGCAACAACUGACGCUGAGGAGCGAAAGCGUGGGGAGCGAACAGG
rnacentral:rRNA from 1 species